AUUGAACGCUGGCGGCAGGCCUAACACAUGCAAGUCGAACGGUAACAGGAAGAAGCUUGCUUCUUUGCUGACGAGUGGCGGACGGGUGAGUAAUGUCUGGGAAACUGCCUGAUGGAGGGGGAUAACUACUGGAAACGGUAGCUAAUACCGCAUAACUUCGCAAGACCAAAGAGGGGGACCUUCGGGCCUCUUUCCAUCGGAUUUGCCCAGAUGGGAUUAGCUAGUAGGUGGGGUAACGGCUCACCUAGGCGACGAUCCCUAGCUGGUCUGAGAGGAUGACCAGCCACACUGGAACUGAGACACGGUCCAGACUCCUACGGGAGGCAGCAGUGGGGAAUAUUGCACAAUGGGCGCAAGCCUGAUGCAGCCAUGCCGCGUGUAUGAAGAAGGCCUUCGGGUUGUAAAGUACUUUCAGCGGGGAGGAAGGAAGUAAAGUUAAUACCUUUGCUCAUUGACGUUACCCGCAGAAGAAGCACCGGCUAACUCCGUG
rnacentral:rRNA from 1 species